rnacentral:rRNA from 1 species
UACGUAGGCGGAAAAUUAAAUCAGUAGUGAAAUCCCGCAGCUUAACUGUGGAACUGUUAUUGAUACUGGUUUUCUUGAAUAUAGUUGAGGUAGGCGGAAUGUGUAAUGUAGCGGUGAAAUGCUUAGAUAUUACACAGAACACCGAUUGCGAAGGCAGCUUACUAAGCUAUGAUUGACGCUGAGGUACGAAAGCGUGGGGAGCGAACAGGAUUAGAUACCCUGGUAGUCC